GUGGCGAACGGGUGAGUAACACGUGAGCAACCUGCCCCUGACUCUGGGAUAAGCGCUGGAAACGGCGUCUAAUACUGGAUAUGUACCACGAUCGCAUGGUCUGUGGUUGGAAAGAUUUUUCGGUUGGGGAUGGGCUCGCGGCCUAUCAGCUUGUUGGUGAGGUAAUGGCUCACCAAGGCGUCGACGGGUAGCCGGCCUGAGAGGGUGACCGGCCACACUGGGACUGAGACACGGCCCAGACUCCUACGGGAGGCAGCAGUGGGGAAUAUUGCACAAUGGGCGCAAGCCUGAUGCAGCAACGCCGCGUGAGGGAUGACGGCCUUCGGGUUGUAAACCUCUUUUAGCAGGGAAGAAGCGAAAGUGACGGUACCUGCAGAAAAAGCGCCGGCUAACUACGUGCCAGCAGCCGCGGUAAUACGUAGGGCGCAAGCGUUAUCCGGAAUUAUUGGGCGUAAAGAGCUCGUAGGCGGUUUGUCGCGUCUGCUGUGAAAUCCGGAGGCUCAACCUCCGGCCUGCAGUGGGUACGGGCAGACUAGAGUGCGGUAGGGGAGAUUGGAAUUCCUGGUGUAGCGGUGGAAUGCGCAGAUAUCAGGAGGAACACCGAUGGCGAAGGCAGAUCUCUGGGCCGUAACUGACGCUGAGGAGCGAAAGGGUGGGGAGCAAACAGGCUUAGAUACCCUGGUAGUCCACCCCGUAAACGUUGGGAACUAGUUGUGGGGUCCAUUCCACGGAUUCCGUGACGCAGCUAACGCAUUAAGUUCCCCGCCUGGGGAGUACGGCCGCAAGGCUAAAACUCAAAGGAAUUGACGGGGACCCGCACAAGCGGCGGAGCAUGCGGAUUAAUUCGAUGCAACGCGAAGAACCUUACCAAGGCUUGACAUAU
rnacentral:rRNA from 1 species